AAAUGAAGUCCUAGCAUGUUGGAUUUAAACCUUUGCAGUUUGCAUAUCAGUAGUCAAAGUGAAUUAGACAUAGUUCUGAGUAGUGUGGGUUUUUUUUAGAAUUAGAAGGACUUCUGAUCCAACCAUGUAGCAUGGCAUGUUAUUGAGAUAUGGUUCUGGUUGAUGGAUGUUCAUGAAGGACCUGUAGUAAAAAGUAUAUCACUGGAUUGAGCUCUCUGUCUAAGUGUAUUAUUAAAGUGCUUUGCUUUGAGCUCGGUUCAUUGUUAUGCAAUUCAUUCUUUGUGAAAUAAAGACUUGACAGACAACUCUCAUGUACAAGGAUUUCUCAAAGUAUUAUCAUUUCUAUGUACAAUGUAAAACAGGGAGAUAAAAGCAUUUUUUCUUUUGUUUGAACCAAACAUUAUUUGUCCAUUGACCAAAUUUAGAAAAAAAAAGAACAAAUUUACAC